GACAGAGGGUGCAAACGUUGUUCGGAUUUACUGGGCGUAAAGCGCGUGUAGGCGGCUUUGCAAGUCGGAUGUGAAAGCCCACGGCUCAACCGUGGAAGUGCAUCCGAAACUGCAUGGCUGGAGUCUCGGAGAGGAAGGUGGAAUGCUUGGUGUAGAGGUGAAAUGCUCAAAUAUAUAGAGGAACACCAAACGGCGAAGGCAGUUAACUAUUCAGUUCUUGACGUUGAGGCACGAAAGCGUGGGGAGCAAGACGG
rnacentral:rRNA from 1 species